rnacentral:rRNA from 1 species
GGCUCGCGAUGCCCUCGGGGGCCCUUUACCGGGUCUUUACCGAGGGCACGCGGUCGCUGCGUCAUGUCCGGCGCGGUCGGCGUGCACUUCUCCCCUAGUAGGACGUCGCGACCCGUUGGGUGUCGACCUACGGCCCGCGAGGUAGACUGGGGCGCCGCGCGUUAAUAGCGCGCGCGCGUCUCAGACCCGCGUGCGCCCGGCUCGACUGCCCGGCGGUAAAGAUCGCUUAUAAUCGAUAAUGGUAUGGGGUCGCACGCUCAUGUUAAAUUUGCGAUGCGUUUUUCGGCCCGUCGUUGAGGCUGGCCUCGCUCGGCGUUUACGGACCUGGUGCCGUUGCCGGGCGUUUAUGGUUGGCUCUCGUUCGACGGUGUCCUCGAACGGGCCCUGCUUUAAAACAUACCCGUCGGCGACGCUACUGCUUUGGGUACUUUCAGGACCCGUCUUGAAACACGGACCAAGGAGUCUAACAUGUGCGCGAGUCAUUGGGACUUGAAACAAAGCCUAAAGGCGCAAUGAAAGUGAAGGUCCGCUUUGAUGCGCGACCGAGGGAGGAUGGCUCCCGCCACGACGCGGAGCCCGCACUCCCGGGGCGUCUCGCGCUCAUCGCGAGCUGAGGCGCACCCAGAGCGUACACGUUGGGACCCGAAAGAUGGUGAACUAUGCCUGGUCAGGACGAAGUCAGGGGAAA